AUUGAACGCUGGCGGCAGGCUUAACACAUGCAAGUCGAGCGAGCGGCGGACGGGCGAGUAAUGUCGUAGAAACUGCCUGAUGGAGCGGUAGAACUACUGUAAACGGUAGCUAAUACCGCAUAACAACAGAUGUGCCCAGAUGGGAUUGGCUAGUAGGUGGGGUAAUGGCUCACAUAGGCGACGAUCCCUAGCUGGUCUGAGAGGAUGAGCAGCCAGACUGGGACUGAGACACGGUCCAGACUCCUACGGGAGGCAGCAGUGGGGAAUAUUGCACAAUGGGCGCAAGCCUGAUGAAGCAAUGCCGCGUGUGUGAAGAAGGCCUUCGGGUUGUAAAGCACUUUCGGCGGGGAGGCGUUACUCGCAGAAAAAGCACCGGCUAACUCCGUGCCAGCAGCCGCGGUAAUUC
rnacentral:rRNA from 1 species